rnacentral:rRNA from 1 species
GUCUACAGCCAUGCCACCCUGAACCUGCCUGAACUCAUCUGAUCUUGGAAGAUAAGCAGGGUCGGGCCUGAUUUGUGCUUGGAUGGGAGACCACCUUGGAAUACCAUGUGCUGUAGACA